CACAAUUACUAGAUACAGAGAGAGAGAGAGAGAGAGAGAGAAGAAUCAGUACACAUAUAAAGGGAGAAAGUACCUUUCCUGACAACUUAGAGCCGCAAUGUAAAUCAAAGUAACUCAGUGACACAAGUGAAGACAAAAAGCCCAAGCCAACGAUUGGAUGAUGUGCCAAAAUAUAAUGUUAAAACAGGCUAGAGCACCAAGAACAAAGUCCACCAAUAGCAUGAAGUAGCUAAAAAGCAUGAGAAGACUUGCACACCAAUUUAUCCUGAUGCUGAUAUUCAUUGAGUCAACAAACAAAGCCCAUUACCCAAAAGAUCUAUUUCAUUAUCUAGUUUCAUAAUUGUGAUUCUACAGUAUAGGCACACUAAU
rnacentral:lncRNA from 1 species